GUAAAAUGCAAAACCUAUGUACUGAGUUUUUUUGUACACAAGUCUCCCUUAAGUUAUGCAAGUGGACUAAUUAUUGCAUUAUGUUACAGCACGAAUCCAGCUGCAUCAUGAAUUUUCUUCUUUGUACCAUGUACCACAACAACCGCCUAUACUUCCUCUUCUAGGGGAUAAUGGUUCUGCACUAAGUACAACAGACUUGAUGCGAAGGCAGGUGAUUCAGCUACAGAGGUUAAAUCGUCACCAAGAGGAACUUACCCAGCUUAUGAAGGACAUUGCAACGCACAUGAAGACCAUUGUGACAGAAGUAGGAACUGUGGCUAGUAGCAUGGCAGAAAUGAAACAAGAAUUAAAAUGUGAACUUGUUCAUCUCCGUCAGGCUUUUGAGAAGACCAAUUCUACUCAGGACUCCUCACCACAAGACUCACCAGCUUCCUCAAAAUCAGCAGCAGGUCCUUCCACUUUACAACUAACACCCGUACAGUCAUCUGGUUUUAGUUCUUCCAUAUGUACUCUAAGUGUUGCUCCUUGCACGCCACCUGCUCUAAAUCCCCAAUUUCAGGUCACUAAAAAAUAAUUUUUUUAUAGCCACCAAAACUGUAAAUAUAUUUCCAUAUUUAUUUUGUGGAAAAUCAAAGCCACAUAUUUAAUUUUUCAUCAGUUUAAUCUCCACUCAUUGAGGACUAGUUUUCUAUUACAUUACUGUAUUUCAUUUUUAUGCUGUGGCAGAAUUAACUAUCCUUUUUAGUUAAUUUUCUAUGUUCUGUUAUAUUUUGUUAAUAAAACAAGGAAAAUUAUAUUUUUAUAAAUCA